rnacentral:lncRNA from 1 species
CCACAAGGUCCGUCUCAACAGCUGGCCCUGAGGACCAGCCCCUCAUGCCUACAGGGUCAGUCCCCCACAGUGGUCUGAGAAGGCACUGGGAGGUACUGAUCGGGGUCUUGGUGGUCUCCAUCCUGCUUCUCUCCCUCCUCCUCUUCCUCCUCCUCCAACACUGGCGUCAGGGAAAACACAGGACAUUGGCCCAGAGACAGGCUGAUUUCCAACGUCCUCCAGGGGCUGCCGAGCCAGAGCCCAAGGACGGGGGCCUACAGAGGAGGUCCAGCCCAGCUGCUGACGUCCAGGGAGAAAACUUCUCAGGUGCUGCCGUGAAGAACACACAGCCUGAGGACGGGGUGGAAAUGGACACUCGGCAGAGCCCACACGAUGAAGACCCCCAGGCAGUGACGUAUGCCAAGGUGAAACACUCCAGACCUAGGAGAGAAAUGGCCUCUCCUCCCUCCCCACUGUCUGGGGAAUUCCUGGACACAAAGGACAGACAGGCAGAAGAGGACAGACAGAUGGACACUGAGGCUGCUGCAUCUGAAGCCCCCCAGGAUGUGACCUACGCCCGGCUGCACAGCUUUACCCUCAGACAGAAGGCAACUGAGCCUCCUCCAUCCCAGGAAGGGGCCUCUCCAGCUGAGCCCAGUGUCUAUGCCACUCUGGCCAUCCACUAAUCCAGGGGGGACCCAGACCCCACAAGCCAUGGAGACUCAGGACCCCAGAAGGCAUGGAAGCUGCCUCCAGUAGACAUCACUGAACCCCAGCCAGCCCAGACCCCUGACACAGACCACUAGAAGAUUCCGGGAACGUUGGGAGUCACCUGAUUCUGCAAAGAUAAAUAAUAUCCCUGCAUUAUCAAAAUAAAGUAGCAGACCUCUC